UGGGGUGAAGUCGUAACAAGGUAACCGUAGGGGAACCUGCGGUUGGAUCACCUCCUUACCU
rnacentral:rRNA from 1 species